ACCAAACUCUCGUUAUUUGUAAAAAAUCCAAAUGGACUGGCGGCCGUGUUCAUGGCGCUGAGACCCCAGAGGAGAUACAUGGCAGGGAGUGGCAGGAGCUCAGGAAAAGUACAACGUUGGCUCACUGAUAAGAGUUACCUGACUUUUUUUUUGGUAUCCUUGCAGCAACACUAUAAUCUGUUAGGCCAGGGUAUGAAUGAUUGUGGCCCACUGUGAUUCAGGGUUAGGGAGAUUUUUUUUGUGGGUCAUUCUGCAGAAAUUCUGGUCAUUCUGCAAAAAAUAACUUUCACCAAAAUGACAUGCUCUGAUGGUAUACAGUGUUACCUUGGGUUAAGAACUUAAUUCGUUCCGGAGGUCCGUUCUUAACCUGAAACUGUUCUUAACCUGAGGUAUCACUUUAGCUAAUGGGGCCUCCCGCUGCCGCCGCGCGAUUUCUGUUCUCACCCUGAAGCAAAGUUCUUAACCUGAGGUACUAUUUCUGGGUUAGUGGAGUCUGUAACCUGAAACAUCUAUAACCUGAAGCGUCUGUAACCCGAGGUACCACUGUAUAAGUGGAAGUUUAUCCCAUGAUAAAUUUUAAAAGACAUUUAAAAAAAAUGUUGCCAUAUUUUGAAGAGCAAAGACUCACUCCUGGUUUCUUUUGAUCUCCUUCCUCUUGUCGGCACUCUGAGGCUUCCUAGGAGGCAGGGCGCAUUGAGUUAACGUCAUUUUACUUCACAAACUUAAGGACUUCUGCAAACCUAGGGCAUCCCCUGGGUAUGUGGAAGCAGCUACCUUUUGGGUUGGCGCCAUUUCUCUUGGAACCUGAUAGGUACUCAACCACCUGUGAUUCCUGUUCAUUGUAUCCUUCCUAAGGGUUGCAGCAAUCCCUUCCCUGCUCUGAUUAGGGGAAUUUUAUAAUGAUAAUUAUACCACUCUUUCAAUUUUUUUUCCCCGAUGUCUUUUUUAUUCUCUGUGGGAAGGGGAGGAGUUUUACCCUCCUUUAAGUUUUUCUUCUACAAACCUGAGGCCUCCCUCAAACAUCCCUAUACCUGCUGCUGCUCAGUUCUGUUUCUGCAAUAUUCCUGUCAGAAGAUAUUUGAAGGAGCGGUGACACUUGGGAUUUGUAUAGCAGAGUUGUGAGCGUUCACAAGUUUCACGUACAUCAUCUUGUAAUCCUUUCGGCAGCUUUGCAAAUUAGGUCAGGAUCGCCACCAUAUUGCAGAUGGGGACUGAGAGACCUGGUGCUAUCUAGAAAGUGGGGUAAAGGUAGGAUUCAAACUGUGAACCUCUUGAUUUGUAGGCAGCCAUUCUGUGACAGCGGCUCACCAGGACUUGCAUGUCAAUAGUGUUAAGUUGUGGGUGAACAUAUCAGACGACACAGCGAUUCUUCAAACAGCUCUUGUUUAUUCAGAGGCCAGAACAGAACUGACUGAAGGGCUCAGUCAGCCUGCUUAUAUAGAGCUCCACUACAACGUUACUGUAGCAACUUUCUAAAACUAUCCAGUCACUGAACGUCACUUUCGAUCCUUCAUUUGCAUAACUAUCUACAGUAACCCCCUGCUGGCCCAGGGUGAGAACUUCAGUACAUAGCAAAUAGAAAUCCCCAUUUCUCUUUGGAGGGUUUGGACACAUUACACACAGUGCAAAGUAUAUUGCUUUGCAACCCAGUCCCUAAAGAGCAUUAUUGAGAUUUAGUUGAAUAGAUGGGAGUGGUUGUAACGGAACAGUUUUGAGAACUGCAGCUUUACAAGCUCUACUUGUGCAAGUUUGCUUAGGAAUUUCACUGUAAAGGAUCGCAUUCAAGUAAGCAUACAUAGAAUGUCACCCUUAAUGGAACUGCUUUCAGUGUGCCAUGUGUUAAACGACAAAUUUCUGGACUUCCAGCUUUCCAGGAAGUCACGCCCUAUCUCAUGUGUGCUCUUCUUAAGCCAAGCUACUGCACUAUGGUUAUGGUUCCUUAGCAGCAAGAUGACACAACACUGGUACAUGCCCAAAGGCAUGUUUUCCUUUACUGCAUCGUAUCUUGCACACUGAGCUCUGGCUUUAGCAACAGGUGUGGGGAUAAGCCGUGGCUCAGAUUAAGCUCUGAAUAGGUUUGCGGCUAACCUUUCUAAAUUACAAGUUAUAACUCUUUUUAAAAAACCUGCUAUUGCUACUUUUAAUAAUGUUUUAGAAUUAUUAUUUACAGCAAUGAGCACAGAUUUUGUUGCUCUGCAGUGCCUUGAGCACCGGUAAUAAGCUGCAUAGAGAAAUCAAAAAACAAAUACAACACUGAGCCCGUCUGUAAAAAUGUUUUCAAAAGCUUAUUAGUCUGAAGUGAUGGGGCAAAGAUUUGCAUUCUAUCCACAUACAGAUUUUGAACUGAAAAUACUAUUUUCAUAUACAAAAUAAUACAAAAAGGGAAAGUAACACCUUUUCACCCUUCAGUCGAGAUCAAAACCUGCUCUCCAGGGUGGCUGCUUCAUUUUUCCACAUGGUGGGGCUAGUUCUGCAUGCUUCCCAAGGUAGGUAUGUUGAGACUUCAAAUGUUCUUUCGUGAUAGUAUCCAUUAUGUAUACCCCUAUGUGUAUUAAUGAGGCCUUCCCCACAGCCCUUCAAGCAGUCAUAUGGAUGGUUGAUCAUGCCAGCGAGGUUUCAUUUAAAUGUAGAUGAGUUCUACCGCAUCUAAUAAAAGAAAAUGAUUCAGAAAUGAACAGCCCACACAAAAGCAUGCAUUUUGGUUAUUUCAUAAAUGUUUUACACAUUGCUUCUUUGCCAGAUAAAACUGGCUGUAGGGGGAGUUGCGUUAAAAAUGUAUUGUCACUUGUUAUUUGCAAGAACACAACAGCUUUAGUUUCGAACGAACCACCAAAGAUUCAGGCAGACAAGUCCUAAAAUGGUGGUACAGAUUCUGGGGUGGAGAUACCGCAGCCAUGCCGGCCAGGGCAGAAGGUGGAGUGAGGCAGAUUUUCAGGACCCCAUUUGGCAUUUAAAAAAAGGUUACCUCUCAUUGAAACCAAUAGAAGGUAAAGUAAGUCCAGGUCCGGCAUAUGUUUUCAGCCUAUCUAGGGGCAUGUUAGGGAUACAAAGAGGCUUUUUGAUGCAACUGAUCCAAGGUUUUCCCUGAACCAACGGCUUCAGGUCACAAGACAGGAGAUUCUGACUAAACAUCAGGAAGAAUUUUCUGAUGGUAAGAGCUGUUCAACAGUGGAACGGUCUCCGUCGGGAGGUUGUGGACUCUCCUUCCUUGGAGGUUCUUAAGCAGAGGUUGGAUGGCCAUCUCUCGUGUAUGAUCUAGUCGAGAUUCUUCCAUCGCAAGGGUCCCUUCCAACUUUGCAAUUCUAUAACAGCCCAUAUCCACCACCCACAAAACACCACUGAUGGUAUAGCCAUGGUGGCACAGCUUUCUGCCAGGGCUGUCUUUACCAGGGGGUGCAAAAAAGCUCAACAACUUUGAGUCCCCCUCCCAAAAAAAGGGGGUGCUGGGCAGAUCUUUGCAACUCGCCGGCACAUAUGCUAAAGACAGCCCUUCUUUCCGAAACCACAUCAGAGACAUCUGCUUGCAUACCUCGCAGUAUGGCGCUUAGAAUAGCUGCCUGAAUAAUUCUGUAAAAUGUAAAGGUUCUUAGGACUGUACUUUUAAAUAUGGAAUAGGCAUUUCCCUUUCAAACUAAUGUAGCAGGCAGUUUGACUGGCUAUUGUUUCGUAACCCCGUGGCAAUCGUUUUAAUAGUACCUGUAGUACACAAGUGAGAACUGGAAUAGGUACUUAGUGUACUGAAUACAGCCGAGUGAUUUUGUUGUUGUUGUAAGAUUAGACUCCAGUUGGAAAAUUAGUGGUGUCCUUGCAGUUAUCACUGUUUUAUAUGGGGGGGGGGGUUGACGCUGAAGUUUGUUCCCUGUUUCUUAUACAACAAAGAACUGCGUGAAUGGCUCAAACAGUUUAUUUGACCCUACACCACAAAAUACGAAUCACUACUUCGUAUCAUGCAUCUCUAUCGCCAGGAAGCUCUGCUUUUCUGCUGCGACUUCUCCUGGAGAAGGUAGAUCAAGCCACUGUCACACGUUUAUUCACGUUGAAGUUAGACCGUUGCAACAUGUUCUACAUGGGUUUGUCUUUGCGGAGUGUUUGGAAUCUACAACUUGUAGGGAAUGCUUUUCAGGGACUGGAUAGACGCUUAAGGAGUGGGCAUCGGGAGAAGUGGGGUUGGAGACUGAUUUAGAGGAAGGAAUCAGUGACCUGGGGGAACCUGUAACAGCCAGGAGAAGAGAGGCAGAGCCAGAAGCUGCAGGAUUGGAAAGUGAAGAACAGGAGGGACAGGUCAGGCUAGUGGAGAGAGUAAAGGGCUUUCACACCUCCUCCUCCUGCCCCUACCUCUCCUGCUCCACUGUCUCCCAGGACCAGAAGAGGACUGAAAUGGGAGGAGCAGAAACAGUUGCACGCAGGUGUCGUCUGGAAUUAACUGUUAAUGCUGGCUCCCGCUAUUUUUCUAGAGUCUGCUGUAUUGAAUCGAGAGUAUGUUGAGUUUAAUGAUUGCGAGUCGAUUUUUUGUGCCUUCUGCCCCCCAAGCAGCAUAUAAAUGUGAGCCCCCGUCGUGGUAGUGAACCCAAUGAUUUAAAAUCUGAAGGAGCGCCUCCACCCCCAUCGUUCUACCCGGACACUGAGGUCCAGCACCGAGGGCCUUCUGGAGGUUCCCUCACUGCGAGAAGCCAAGUUACAGGGAACCAGGCAGAGGGCCUUCUCAGUAGUGGCGCCCGCCCUGUGGAAUGCCCUCCCAUCAGAUGUCAAAGAGAACAACAACUACCAAACUUUUAGAAGACAUCUGAAGGCAGCCCUGUUUAGGGAAGAUUUUAAUGUUUGAUGUAUUACUGUAUUUUAAUAUUUGGUUGGAAGCCGCCCAGAGUGGCUGGGGAAGUGGCUGGGGAAGCCCAGCCAGAUGGGCGUGGUAUAAAUAAAUUAUUAUUAUUAUUAUUAUUAGUCUCCAUUUACCAUCAUUUUUCUGUUGCAGGUUGGCACAAAGGAUUCCGGUUCUCGAUGUAAAAACAACGUAUUUUGCACACAAGCAACCGUAGGG
rnacentral:lncRNA from 1 species